rnacentral:rRNA from 1 species
GGCCCCGCACAAGCGGUGGAGCAUGUGGUUUAAUUCGAUGCAACGCGAAGAACCUUACCAGGCCUUGACAUCCUCGGAACUUUCUAGAGAUAGAUUGGUGCCUUCGGGAACCGAGUGACAGGUGCUGCAUGGCUGUCGUCAGCUCGUGUCGUGAGAUGUUGGGUUAAGUCCCGUAACGAGCGCAACCCUUGUCCUUAGUUGCCAGCACUUCGGGUGGGAACUCUAAGGAGACUGCCGGUGACAAACCGGAGGAAGGUGGGACGACGUCAAGUCAUCAUGGCCCUUACGGCCUGGCUACACACGUGCUACAAUGGCAAGUACAGACGGCUGCAAACCCGCGAGGGAGGCAACA